ensembl:lncRNA
UGGAAAAGACAUUUAAUUCAAAAAUCACACGUCCACUCAUUUCAUAGGGAUUGUCACAUAAACCAACCAAAUGUAAGAAAGCCAAGUUUCAGAGGCUCUGAACAGAAAUUGUAUUUUCUUUAUAGAUGUAUUUUGUGACACAAAAGCACAUUUUUUAAAAGCCUGAACAUGGCAACAGGGCUACUAACAGGGACAAAGGUCUAUUCUAGUCACAGAUUACUUUCUAAUUACAGCAUUGGAUUCUAUGCACCAGUCAAUAGUCAAUACUGAAGUUUAGAACAGUGCGUUAUUUUAAAAGAAAAGAUUAAAGUGCCAUUUAAUAAGUACUUUAUUGAUAUUAUAUCACACAGCACUUUACAGUAUACUCAAAGGUAGUCUAAAUUAUGAUUAAACAUGCAAAUAUUUUCUUUUCCAAAAUGUGGACAAAAUGUCUUUUAGAGUGCUUCUGAACACUAGCCUUAGCUACUAAGCAUUCAUGGGUUUGACCUUUUUUGCAACAUGACUUUAAAUAAGUUAACAAAGAAUGUAGCUGCAGAUAAUCAUUUGAUAAGUAUGAACAGUUUUUAAAUGGCACUGAAUUUACAUCUUUGAUCAUUUUAAUGGGCCAUCAACAGCCUCUCUUCUGUCUCUAAUUCUCAACCUCCAAGUCUUAAAGGCUGUAAAGGCUCAGCAAGUGGCAGCUCAUGUGGGUCUCUAUGAGUGUCUGUGUCUUCAUAGAUGUAAAUAUGUGCUGUAUAUACACACACACAAAUAUACUUUAAAAUCAACAGAUGUGCAUUGUCAGAUACAAGGCUGAUUCUGGCAUAACCAAGAAACUGGAUCUGGAUAACCAAGAAAGCUGCUUUUAGGUGUCUGGAUAACUUUGUAGAAAUGGUUGAUGUACAACAGUGUAGGAUGUCUUAGCCUCUCCAGGACUGCUCCAGGUAACUAACAUUUUGUUUAUCAGUACUCUGGUUCUGACUAUACUAAAGCAAAUUUUGACAUGUACAUGUCACAUCAUGUCAUACCCACACAAGGGUCUGGGCCUGUGCUAAGCCUUUGUUCUCUAAAGCAUUCCACCUUGAGAGACGUUUUGUAAUCUCCGGCACAACUUUUGUAAAAAUAUUAGCUGUGAAAUUUUUCUGUGAUUGGUUUUUUUUUUUUUCUCCUCAGUAAGCACAAUAUUUAUCCUUCUAAAAAAGUAUCCAAAGCUCCUUAGGAUAGUUCACCUUCCUCUUUCUCUCUGGUCCUGGUGUUACUUUGCAUCCAGCACUUUUUCCUCCCAAGAAUACAGGUGCUUCCACUGGAAGACCACAUUUCAGCAAGGACUGACUCUGAAUAACACCUGGAUUCUCUCUAUGGCCUUUCCCUCCACUUUGGGAAGCUCUUUAGUUAGACAGGUACUGUAGGCGGCAGGAGAAAAAAGUUAAUUAUUACUUGUUGGAGUCUUGUCUCAGGCAUGCUGUGGGGCUGGGCAAGAUUUGCCGCUCUGCUGCUGUUGUCAUUUUGAUGCUACAAUUACAGAGCGGUGGUUCAGCACCCAGCCGAUCAGUGUGGCUGCCAAACACAUUUGAGCAUGACAAGAUAAAUUUUUUAGACACCAGCACAGGGUGGGUGAGAGGACAUCCUGCUGACUUUAUAAAGGGAUGUGGGGCAGGGUUGUCGAGGUAAGUGAUGAUUGUCAAGUUUGCCAGAGAUGACAGAUAACUCCCUUGGCAGAACACCUAGGUCAUUCCUCUUAAAGUCAGGUAGCUAACAGGCUGUUUGCUUUCUGCAGUGCUGGCUACCUACUUGGGGAAUAUGGUUGCUCACAAAACAUUCAGUACUUGGGCAAAUUCUGGGAGCGCCAUGUCCACAAAACUCAGUCGUCCAGACUUGCUUUUGGGAGCAGAAGCCAGAGGACGACAGGUGCCAAUGGACAGGCAGGGAUCAGGUUAUCUUUGGCUUCUUCUUUCUGUCUUCCUCCCCUUCACCUGUGAAUGCUUUUGGAGCCUCUGUAGUCAAGACAGAGCUUUUAGU